GCCACCAAAACCUGAUGAUGUUGCAACUAUUUGCUAUACAAGUGGUACAACUGGAACCCCAAAGGGGGCUGUCUUGACCCAUGCAAACUUCAUUGAAAAUGUUGCUGGGACCACUAUGGAUGAAAAAUUUGGCCCUUCUGAUGUUUAUAUAUCAUAUCUCCCUUUAGCACACAUUUAUGAGCUGAC